ACGCCAACUACAACGACCACUACCACUACUACGCCUACUACAACGACUACGACCACUACUACUACUACUACGCCAACAACAACGACCACUACCACUACAUCGCCUACUACAACGACUGCGACCACUACGACAACCUCACCGACUACAACCACUACUACCACUACGACUACUACCACACCUACCACAACAACUACUACCACAACAACCACUACGCCGACGACUACAACGGCAAUGUCAACAAACAGUGCGUGUGAGGGGGCUGCCUUCACCUGUUUAUUCCACAACCAGGCGGAUUGUGAAGCAGAGUCGGGAUGGGUGGAUCAUUCUAUGAAGUGUGAAUACCCGGAUGAAGUGUGUUGCCACUUUUCGUAACAGCCAUGGAGGUCCGUCAGCAUGUGCCCGUCACGCAGAUGCUGUGAAUCCCCAAACCAACACCUUUAUACCAGGGGUAUCUAUGUCUCCCCUACAACCACUUUACUGGUGCUUUCUUCAUACAAUAAAACAAUUACAUAACACGACAUUAAUACCGAAGGUCAAACGUACGUGUGAACACGGUUGUUUACUUUAAACCGCUUUUUUAUCCCGGCGUGUCAGCUUGUGGCAGGAAAGCUUAAAAAGAUGCAGGUCUCAGGUGUUUACCACGGCAUUGUGUGUCAAAGAAUGGUAACCAUGACGAUAUCAGGAGAAUAAUUCAGCACAUCGUAACGUGGUGCCUUAGAUGACUCGGCCUUGAGGGUGAGUGAGUUGGGUUUAACGCCGCUUUUAACAAUAUUCCAGUUAUAUCACGGCGUGUAAGCUUGAUGUGGGAGGAAAGCCCA